UAUGUGUGUGUGUGUGUGUGUGUGUGUGUGUGUGUGUGUGUAAGGAGGAGAGGAAGACGAGAAAGUAAUAAUGUGUUUGUGUGUGGAAAGGAAGAUAAAAGGAGAGAACAGUAUUGGUGUGUUUGUAAGGAGGAAAAGAAGACGAGGAAGUAAUGUGUUUGUGUGGAAAGGAAGAUAAAAGGAGAGAACAGUAUUGGUGUGUUUGUAAGGCGGAAAAGAAGACGAGGAAGUAAUGUGUUUGUGAGGAAAGGAAGAUAAAAGGAGAGAACAGUAUUGGUGUGUUUGUAAGGAGGAAAAGAAGACGAGGAAGUAAUGUGUUUGUGUGGAAAGGAAGAUAAAAGGAGAGAACAGUAUUGGUGUGUUUGUAAGGAGGAAAAGAAGACGAGGAAGUAAUGUGUUUGUGUGGAAAGGAAGAUAAUAGGAGAGAACAGUAUUGGUGUGUUUGUAAGGAGGAAAAGGAGACGAGGAAGUAAUGAUGUGUUUGUGUGGAAAGGAAGGUAAAGGGAGGAGAGAGAACAGGAAUAUUGGUGUGUAUGUGUGUUUGUGUUUGUAAGGAAGAGAGGAAGACGAGAAAGUAAUAAUGUGUUUGUGUGUGGAAAGGAAGGAGAGAGAACAGAAGUAUUGGUGUGUUUGUGCUUGUAAUGGUGAUGAUGAUGAUGGUGUAUGUGUGUGUGUGUGUGUGUGUGUGUGUGUGUGUGUGUGUGUGGAAAGGAAGGAGAGAGAACAGAAGUAUUGCAUGGUGUGUUUGUGUUUGUAAGGAGAGGAAGAAGAUUGUGUGUGUGUGUGUGUGUGUGUGUGUAUGUGUGUGUGUGUGUGUCAAGGAAGAAGGAAUAGGGGAAUAACUGAGGAACAAGACCAGAAAUAACGAUGAAUGUGUGUGGAGAAGGAAGGAAAGGAAAAAGUGAAAAUAAUAUCGUAUGUACAAAGGAAAGGAACAUAAGGAAAAUGAGAUAAAGGGAGGAAAGAGAGCAGGAAUAUCGAUGAAUGUGUGUGGAAAAGGAGGAAAGAAUAAGAGUAGGUAAUAAUGUGUGUGAAAAGGAAAUAAAUAAAAGAGAAAUGGAAGAGGACGAGAGAAAUAAAAUGUGGUGAAAAGGAAGAAUGAUAAAUAACGUGUAUGGGAGGGAAAGGAAUAAGAGAAAGAGAAGAUAAAUUGAGAGAAAAGAGGACAAGAGUAUCAGUAUGUGUGUGUGUGAAGGGAAAAAUAAAAUAAUAAUAAUAAUAAUAAUGUAUGUAUGUAACUAUGUAAACAGUCACUCCCUCCCGAACCAAGACCGAGACCAAGACCAUGUUUGCGUUUUUGGAAAGGGAGACUAAACAAGGAAAGAAUAAUAAUGUGUUUAGAAAGGGAGACGAGGAAGAAGAGAUGAUGGAAAUGUGAAUAGAAAGGAAUAGAAGGAAAAGAAGAUGAUGAAAGGAGGAGGAAGAGGAAGAAGAGAGGAUAUUGUGGAUGUGGAAAUUGGAAAAUGAGAUAAAUGAAAAAGAGAUAGAAGAAAGGAGAAUAUGUGUUUGUAUGGAAAUAUAUGGAAGGAAGAAGAGACAGAAAAAGGAAUAGAAAGA